rnacentral:rRNA from 1 species
AAUCAACGCUGGCGGCGUGCCUAACACAUGCAAGUCGAACGCGGUUACCCCGCAAGGGAUAACUGAGUGGCGAACGGGUGAGUAACACGUGGGUGACCUACCUUCGAAUGGGGAUAACGUCCCGAAAGGGACGCUAAUACCGCAUAGCAUCCUGCCUUUGAACAGGUGGAGAUCAAAGCCGGGGAUCGCAAGACCUGGCGUUUGAAGAGGGGCCCGCGUCUGAUUAGCUAGUUGGUGAGGUAACGGCCCACCAAGGCGACGAUCAGUAUCCGGCCUGAGAGGGCGGACGGACACACUGGGACUGAGACACGGCCCAGACUCCUACGGGAGGCAGCAGUGGGGAAUUGUUCGCAAUGGGCGCAAGCCUGACGACGCAACGCCGCGUGGAGGAUGAAGGUCUUCGGAUUGUAAACUCCUGUUGCUCGGGACGAAUAGC